rnacentral:lncRNA from 1 species
CCCCCCCAUGUAAGGCUCCUCGUGUCGGAGGUAGCUUUUGAGCCUCCAGUUGUUUCUUGGUGAAAAGCUUCCAUCUGAGAUCACCAACAUCCACCACAGUGCUACCAGGCUCAUAGAGCUGGCAAACAAAUGUCUCAAUGGCUCGUUCAGUGUCACCUUCCAGCUUCUCGGAGAUCCCUAAGGCAGCAAAUGCAGAUACCACCUCCAUGGAGCAUCUGCUAAGUGCUUGCCAACAGGUCAGCUUCCCCUUGCCUGCAAAUCGACCUGUUACGUCAGCUCCAGAGAAGGCAUGAAAUCCUGCUUGAUGGAUUGCUGGUGCCUCUGCCUCACCUCUUGCUCACCUUGACACUGGAAACCAAGGCCUUCAAGAUCAUUGGAAUCUCCUGUGACGAAGUUGAGUCUUUGGGCUGAUCACUUUCGCAUCGCAUCGCAUCGCAGACAGGUCUGGUCUGUCUGCCUUCUACCACCUUCUUCCUGAUCUUGUAUCUUCUGCUCUUCCCAUGCUUUACCCCCCUCUCCCCCAAACCAGGUAUCUGUAGGGCACCAUGUGGUCCACCAUCAAAUCCCAUUCUGAACUCCCGAAAUCCAGGAUCUCUGCCCCUCCACACUCGUUUGUUCCUCUAUUAAUUUUAUUUUUUCCCCCCACAUGUGGAACAAACUUUCACAUUCUCUUUAAUCUCAUUCUUCCCUCCAGGUCUUGAAAGACAGCUGUUCACCACCAUCUCAGAUCAUCCCUCAUCCAAAACCAUGAUCUUUUCUACCUCUGGAUAACAAUGUCUUCCUGCAUCGGUGUUCUGCCAGGCACUUGGAACUGCAGCCAGAGACAAGUGGAGCAGCACUUGGUUGAGAACCAUUGAUCUCGGGUGCAUAGUAUGGCCUUCUGUGUUUGUCGCUGUCUGGCAGGCAGGGCACUGGACUCGGUAUUGCUGUCUUAACUUUCCCUUGCAAGUGCUUCUCUCCACUCUGGCAUUUCAUGGGCCCCCUGCAAAGUUUUAUCAACACUUGUUGCUGCUCUUUCUGCUGCUCACGCAGGAGGUCAUGCAGGUUUCUUCUGUGAACCGGACACAGAGCCGAGGAGCGGCGUCGAUGUGCAGGCCCACACCAAGCCCACCACUCGGUUGGAUUUUGCAGAAAUGUCAAGGGAUGGACUGCAUGCAGCAGGAUUGUGCCACUUGAAGCAUCAUGCAGAAUGGACAUUGACAAUUUCGUGAAACUAAAGGAGUGAGCUGCAAGUCUCCCUCCAUUGUUUCGAGCAACGUCGGGUGGGCUGGUCCACCCCAAGUCAGGUCUUGCUCCUCAGUCAUUUGCAGAGAAUGAGGUUACUGGAGGAGAGCAAAAAGCUUGGCUCACCCUGUGGUGACAAGAUGCAGUUCGUAGAUGGAAGCAUAAGCAAUGGGCACUGAACCACAUUCCUAAAUCUGCUGUUUGAAGAUCAUUUUUCAUGAGUUUGAAUAUGACUUUUUGACUUCACACCCCC